rnacentral:rRNA from 1 species
UACGGAGGGGACUAGCGUUGUUCGGAAUUACUGGGCGUAAAGCGCACGUAGGCGGAUUUGUAAGUCAGGGGUGAAAUCCCGGGGCUCAACCUCGGAACUGCCUUUGAUACUGCAAAUCUCGAGUCCGGAAGAGGUGAGUGGAAUUCCUGAGUGUAGAGGUGAAAUUCGUAGAUAUUAGGAAGAACACCAGUGGCGAAGGCGGCUCACUGGUCCGGUACUGACGCUGAGGUGGCGAAAGCGUGGGGAGCAACAGGG